rnacentral:rRNA from 1 species
GACGAACGCUGGCGGCGUGCUUAACACAUGCAAGUCGAACGGAAAGGCCCUGCUUUUGUGGGGUGCUCGAGUGGCGAACGGGUGAGUAACACGUGAGUAACCUGCCCUUGACUUUGGGAUAACUUCAGGAAACUGGGGCUAAUACCGGAUAGGAGCUCCUGCUGCAUGGUGGGGGUUGGAAAGUUUCGGCGGUUGGGGAUGGACUCGGGGCUUAUCAGCUUGUUGGGGGGGUAGUGGCUUACCAAGGCUUUGACGGGUAGCCGGCCUGGGAGGGUGACCGGCCACAUUGGGACUGCGAUACGGCCCAGACUCCUACGGGAGGCAGCAGUGGGGAAUAUUGCACAAUGGGCGGAAGCCUGAUGCAGCAACGCCGCGUGCGUGAUGACGGCCUUCGGGUUGUAAACCGCUUUCGCCUGUGACGAAGCGUGAGUGACGGUAAUGGGUAAAGAAGCACCGGCUAACUACGUG